rnacentral:rRNA from 1 species
GAUGAACGCUGGCGGCGUGCCUAAUACAUGCAAGUCGAGCGAACGGACGAGAAGCUUGCUUCUCUGAUGUUAGCGGCGGACGGGUGAGUAACACGUGGAUAACCUACCUAUAAGACUGGGAUAACUUCGGGAAACCGGAGCUAAUACCGGAUGAUAUUUUGAACCGCAUGGUUCAAAAGUGAAAGACGGUCUUGCUGUCACUUAUAGAUGGAUCCGCGCUGCAUUAGCUAGUUGGUAGGGUAACGGCUUACCAAGGCAACGAUGCAUAGCCGACCUGAGAGGGUGAUCGGCCACACUGGAACUGAGACACGGUCCAGACUCCUACGGGAGGCAGCAGUAGGGAAUCUUCCGCAAUGGGCGAAAGCCUGACGGAGCAACGCCGCGUGAGUGAUGAAGGUCUUCGGAUCGUAAAACUCUGUUAUUAGGGAAGAACAUAUGUGUAAGUAACUGUGCACAUCUUGGCGGUACCUAAUCAGAAAGCCACGGCUAACUACGUG